rnacentral:lncRNA from 1 species
UCUCUUUAGUAUGAUAAUGGUCUUUCCUCCUCCUGCUGGGAAGACCCUUGUACGGGAUCGACAACUCUUAAGCUUAGGAACUCAUAAACUCUUUAGAGUGAAUCACAAUGCUGAUAUGUAGAAAAUAUUUGCAAAGUAAAAUUCAUUCUUAAAUAAUUAUCCACCUAAAUAAAUUUAUUAUGUUGUAUGAUUAGAUACAAGUUUAAGUAUAACAAUGUGCUUUUGAUAAUCUAUUUUCCAAAAAUUAUUGAAGAGUAAAUAAGUU